UCAAAGACGAUGACCGGGAAUAGUAGACCGUAUGCCCUUCAGAGAGCGGAAUUAUUUGCUGUGAGAUUCCGCAGGACACAGCUGGCCGAAGUCGCCCGUUAGUUGCCUGUUUGAAGUCCUGACCUCGUCAGGGCUAGAUCAGGCCGGUUCGCAUCCGUUAACCUGCGCUGAAGUGUCGUUUGAACCGUCCGGAAGCCUGCUUGCUUUUAACUUGGGUUGAAGUAUAAGCUCGGCUGCUUGCCUGUUCAACCGAAACAAAGGUGGUACCGCGAGAGAUCAAGCCUUUCGUCCUUUGA
rnacentral:ncRNA from 1 species